UUCAUCUUGACAUCCAGCGAAGCCUUUAGAGAUAGAGGCGUGCCUUCGGGAGCGCUGAGACAGGUGCUGCAUGGCUGUCGUCAGCUCGUGUUGUGAAAUGUUGGGUUAAGUCCCGCAACGAGCGCAACCCUUAUCCUUGUUUGCCAGCACAUAAUGGUGGGAACUCCAGGGAGACUGCCGGUGAUAAACCGGAGGAAGGUGGGGACGACGUCAAGUCAUCAUGGCCCUUACGAGUAGGGCUACACACGUGCUACAAUGGCAGAUACAGAGGGCAGCGACGCUGCGAAGUAAAGCGAAUCCCUUAAAGUCUGUCGUAGUCCGGAUUGGAGUCUGCAACUCGACUCCAUGAAGUCGGAAUCGCUAGUAAUCGUGGAUCAAAAUGCCACGGUGAAUACGUUCCCGGGUCUUGUACACACGGAA
rnacentral:rRNA from 1 species